rnacentral:lncRNA from 1 species
CUCCUAUUCCCCAGCAAGCAGGAGGCAAGAUGAGAUUUAUGCCAGGAGAUGAGAAGAAUUUCCAUCCUGUUUGGGUUAUGCUGAGAUGCUUUUGGAAGACACGUAAGAGAAGAAAACAGAGCGGUAGGAAAGCACGAUUUCCUAUUUACUUCUUUUGGGAAUACACAUUUAUCAACCCUGCCCCGAGGAGGCCAGAUUUCCAGUCUGAGGCGAGCAGAGCCGGAGCUUUCACAAUGGAACGGAGGGAUGGCCUGGGAGGGGGUCCUUUCUAGCCAGCGAUUUCGGCUGCCUGCCGUUGCCAUGGCAACUGCAAGCACAAAUCAGAUUCACCUGCUGUCUCUGCUCCUUUUGUUCAGAGCAAACUAUUAAGCCGCCAACAGCAGGAUUAGCAAGACAGAGGCAUUUAGAUGAACGGAGAUGCCACCUUCUGUGAACAGAUCUUGUGUUCUGUAAUGAACCUGCACCUCCCCAGGGCCUAGUUAACAUCGUAGCAGAAGGGAGCUUGAGAAAAAUACUGGUCUAAAGACGUUUAUGAUCGCACCGGGCCAAAUUUUUCUGAGAAAGAGUUUAAGUCUUUAGUUCUCAAAUCCAGCGUUUCCUAAACUCUAGGAUGCCUCAGAAUCCCCUAAAUCUGCAAAAUGCAAAUGUCCAGGGCCCACCCCCCGAAAAGCUAAUUUAGUAGGUCUGAGUCCGGGCCCAGGACUCUGAAAUUUGAAUCUUAAGGGAUUUUCCGCACAAGGAGACGACUUGGAAUACAUUCAGGCCAUCUGGCUUUAGUCGGGUGGCAAAGUGGUUUUAGGAAGGUAGAAGACGAGGACCCCCUCCCUCCCCUGCAGCACCAGCCGCUUCAGAGAACAGGCAGGGCAAGCUGUUACUUCCAAGUUCAAGGCAAAGAGAUCAAGUUGUAAUCACGUUCUGCCUUUCCAUCAUGGUCAGUGUGGGCUUCCAAGCUUUAGGGAGGGAGAAGGUGUCCUUUGCAGUCCCUGUUCUCGCUGAUGCGAGGUCCCACACCUUGGAGAAGUCUUCACGUAGCAACCUCUUUCUUCAUCCUAGUCUUCUAGCCUUCAGGCUUUCGAUGCGUAAGAUAGUCUCUCCCCAUCCUUUUCUUUCAGUUUCUAGGUUGCCCUAGGUGCUUGUUUUCACCAUAUUCAGUUUGUUAAGCGGAUACAGAAUCCCGGCAAGCACCUGUCCCCAGGGAUGGCCGUGGAAAAGAGGCUGGCCUGUCCGGGAAACCUUUCCGCAGAGUCGGCAUUUAAGGUCGACAGGAAUCGCACACGGUGGUUCCAGCUGAAGUUCCGAACAUCCUAAGGAAAACUUCGCAGGAGGAAGGCCCCGUGGCCCAGCCGCGCAGCCAUGUUUCAGAGAAGCCUUCAGCGCGUGCGCGUGCG